ACGGAAGGCAGCAGUGGGGAAUAUUGCACAAUGGGGGAAACCCUGAUGCAGCGACGCCGCGUGAGUGAAGAAGUAUUUCGGUAUGUAAAGCUCUAUCAGCAGGGACGAAUUCGGACGGUACCUGACUAAGAAGCCCCGGCUAACUACGUGCCAGCAGCCGCGGUAAUACGUAGGGGGCAAGCGUUAUCCGGAUUUACUGGGUGUAAAGGGAGCGUAGACGGUCCGGCAAGUCUGAUGUGAAAUCCCAGGGCUUAACCCUGGGACUGCAUUGGAAACUGUUGGACUAGAGUGCAGGAGAGGUAAGUGGAAUUCCUAGUGUAGCGGUGAAAUGCGUAGAUAUUAGGAGGAACACCAGUGGCGAAGGCGGCUUACUGGACUGUAACUGACGUUGAGGCUCGAAAGCGUGGGGAGCAAACAGGAUUAGAUACCCUGGUA
rnacentral:rRNA from 2 species